UUCAGAGACUCUCCUAUAUGUGGCUGCUGAAGCAAAAGAAAAAGAAGGUGGAAACUGCUAACUGGAGGGGAAGGAGGUCGCUUCAGGGAACAGUGUACCCACUCCUAUGAGGACUGAGUAGGAGACUAGGCUUUUGCUUAGUGACUGUACCCCAGAAUUCAAGAUCCACAAAGGAACAGGCACCCAGAAACGACAAGGCUGUGACAGGAGCAGAGAGUCAACAUGUGCACCAACAGCAAUGUCUGACCCCUUGGAAGGUCUGUGUUGAGAAGCAAGAUAGUAGCAGCAACAGAAGCAACUGCAACCAAAGAGAUGGACCCAAGAAUAUUUUCACAAUUCCAAAGGCAACAUAGGAGUCAUCGGAUCCCAGCCACAGGAAGAGAGGAGAUUUGCAGGGCCUGUGGCCUCCUCCCACCCCACAGUAGGCCAGAAACCAAAUGACCAAGAAGAAGGAUCAUGAGCCACUG